rnacentral:rRNA from 1 species
UUGAAAGGGAAACGAUUGAAGUCAGUCGUACCGACGGAAAAUCAGCUCUUCGAGUGCGGACUUGUGGGCGUACGUGAGCUUUAACCGGCCUCGUCGUUUGCUACGUUUGUGCUUUUUGGGUGUACUUUUUCGUAUGGUAGGCCAACGUCAGUUUCGAUCACCAUAAAAUGAUCGGAGGAAUGUAGCUUCGAUCUUGUAUUGAAGUGUUAUAGCCUUUGGUAGAUGUGGUGACUGAGACUGAGGAUUGCAACGAAUACCCUUUGGGCUAUCCGUCUGACCUCUGAAAGUUGCUUAGGUGCCGAAAGCUUGCUUACGGUCAUCUAUGACGACGGUCAAAAGGUUAGAACGUGAUUAUAUUCGUUAAGGAUGUUGACGUA